rnacentral:rRNA from 1 species
UACGGGGGGAGCAAGCGUUGUUCGGAUUUACUGGGCGUAAAGGGCGCGUAGGCGGCCACCGCAAGUCGACUGUGAAAUCUCCGGGCUUAACUCGGAAAGGUCAGCCGAUACUGCGGGGCUAGAGUGCAGAAGGGGCAACUGGAAUUCUCGGUGUAGCGGUGAAAUGCGUAGAUAUCGAGAGGAACACCUGCGGCGAAGGCGGGUUGCUGGGCUGACACUGACGCUGAAGCGCGAAAGCGUGGGGAGCGAGCCGG